UACAGAGGUCCCAAGCGUUGUUCGGAUUCAUUGGGCGUAAAGGGUGCGUAGGCGGUGGGGUAAGUUGGAUGUGAAAUCUUGGGGCUUAACCUCAAAAUUGCAUUCAAUACUGCUCCGCUCGAGUUCUGUAGAGCAGAUUGGAAUUUACGGUGUAGCAGUGAAAUGCGUAGAUAUCGUAAGGAACGCCAGUGGCGAAAGCGAAUCUCUGGGCAGCAACUGACGCUGAGGCACGAAGGCCAGGGGAGCAAACGGG
rnacentral:rRNA from 1 species